GGGGCUGUAGCUCAGUGAAAGAGCGCCUGCCUGGCAUGCAUGAGGAACUGGGUUCAAUCCUCAGCACCA
rnacentral:tRNA from 1 species